rfam:Felis catus isolate Cinnamon breed Abyssinian chromosome A1, whole genome shotgun sequence.
GCCUGAGUGGCUCAGUUGGUUAAGUGUCUGACUUCAGCUCAGGUCAUGAUCUCGCGGUGCAUGGGUUUGAGCCCCGCAUCAGGCU